AAAACUAUAGAUAAUUUAUGGCCCAAUAACAAAAGAGUUUAAAAGAAUUACAAAGUCAAUAAAAAUUAAAUUGUUUGAAUAACAUAGGAUUUUCAUAGAAUUUAAGAGUCCACAAACCAAUAACAAAGGAUUCUAAUAAGAUUUUAAGAAUUCAUUAACCAAUAACAAUGAAAUCUCUAAAUUUUAAAAUUCCUUCAAAAUUUCACUCUCAAUAAUAAUGAAAUCUCUAAAUUUUAAAAUUCGUUCAAAAUUUCACUCCCAAUUAACUAUUAGCAUUUACUUUCUGUAAA
rnacentral:lncRNA from 1 species